GACAGAGGCCUCAAGCGUUAGGCGGAAUCACUGGGCUUAAAGCGUGUGUAGGCGGAUCGUUAAGUGCCUUGUGAAAUCCCACGGCUUAACUGUGGAACGGCUGGGCAUACUGGCGGUCUUGAGCCAUCUAGGGGCGACUGGAACAAACGGUGGAGCGGUGAAAUGCGUAGAUAUCUGGAGGAACACCGGUGGCGAAGGCGGCAUCCUGGACCGGUAUUGACGCUGAGGCGCGAAAGCCAGGGGAGCAAACGGG
rnacentral:rRNA from 1 species